GGAGGAGGGGGUGGUAUAAAAUAUGUCUCCACGGAACAUUAAAUGGAGUAAAAACACUCUCCAUCGGGUCUGGCGGGGGCGGGUUUGGUUCACCAUCCCUCGUCCCCGCUCUCCGUGGAGGUCCGACGUAACAAUGUAUGUGUAAUAUUAUCAUGUAUAUUUGGCCCAUCUAGCCCAUAGAAACUAGGCCCAAAACGUAGAGUAUAUAAAGUAUCUACAAAACCCUAGCCAUUCCAAUCCCUUCUCCCUUUCGUCCCCAUUCCCCACGCCGUCGCAGGCUCGUAGCCUAGCUAGCGGCGUGCCGGUGCCGACUCCCGAUCUCAAUCUCGUAGGGCCGCCGCGCGCCUGCCGCGUCAGCACCCUCGCAGGGUCGCCGGCUUGUCGUGCUCGCGUCCGCGCAGGGCCGCUGCGCCUCCAGGUCUCGGCACUGCCGCACCAGGUCCCAGCGCCACAGUCGUCUCGGUCUCUCGGCAGCACUGAGGACGCCAAGGACUUGGCACCGGCCACCAGACGUUGGGCUCAUCCUCCACUGUCCAUCCAUCCAUUCUGAAUUUCUGAUCCGUCAUCUGGGCUUAUUUGUUUUACUGAUGGUGGAUGCAGGUGAAGGCUACGGUGGCAAGAAAGACCUACUCCGAACUAUGUUUUUGUGUAUGCCUGGACAACAUGUGUAGCGGUGAUAACUAAUGAGUGAUCGACUGGUGAUUGAUUAAUGAUCAUGUGUUAUUGUGUUGUUGCUUAAUAUGAGAAUUUGAUGGAUAGUGUUGCUGAGGGGAAAUUCUUGGGUACAAAUUUGUUGUACUGCUUGUUGCUGCAAUGCUGUUGCAACUGAAUAAGUAAUAAACUGAUGAUGUGCAUUUGUGAAUUUGUGAACUUGUGAUAUGAAUUUGUGAACUUGUUUUCUUGUAUAAUUAUGUUGUUGUCAUGUGCUGAAAUUGCAUGGCCAGAAUUGCUAUUUUGAGUGAUAAUCUUUUUAUCAAAAUUAUUGUUUGAUAUGUGAAAUAUAUACAUGAGACUCGCGGGGAUGGAGGCUCCACGGAGGCGAUGAUGGUGAAAGAUGUUACCCCGUUGCAUUUCACGGUGAUGGUGAUAGGGGAAAUUCUCCUCCACCGAGGCGGGUCUGGUGGUGUAACCUCCGACGGAGAAUUCCCCGUUGCCAUCUCUAAAUGGAACAAGCAUGCUCGGCCCGAUGGAUCUGUACGUGCUCAACGCCAAGCGCACCAAAGGUCUUAGGCUCGAUUGAUAUUGAUCACUUACCCAAUUAAAUAUUAAAUCACUUAUUCCUUUUAUGUAUGUAAGCAAGCAUCAGAUAGAGCCCUGGUACACGUGAAAACGCAUGCAGUGGCAGAGGAUUCAGGGGGAUGACGAAGAAAGUGGAUGGGGAGUUGCGAUUGCCAAGAUCAUUGAUGCCGUUCUCAAUGUGGGAAAACACAUAAUAGAUAUAGGGUGUGUUUAGUUCACGUUAAAAUUGAAAGUUUGAUUGAAAUUGGAAUGAUGUGAUGGAAAAAUUGAAAGUUUGUGUGUGUAGGAAAGUUUUGAUGUGAUGUAAAAGUUGAAGGUUUGAAGAAAAAGUUAGGAACUAAACUAGGCCAUAUAUGUAGGUGUUGAUGAACUUGACUGCAUGUAUUGGCCUGUUCAAGUUCACUGUCAUUGGUGCAUGGAGCAUAUAAAUACACGCGAAAACUUUUCAUUAUAUCAGAUCGUGAAUAUUUGGACACAUGUAUGGAGUAUUAAAUAUAGAUAAAAAAAACUAAUUACACAGAUUACGUGUAAAUUGCGAGACGAAUCUUUUAAGCCUAAUUGCUACAUAAUUUGAUAAAGUAGUGCUAAAGUAAACAUUUACUAAUGACGGAUUAAUUAUGUUUAAUAAAUUCGUCUCGCAGUUUACAGGCGAAAUUUAUAAUUUAUUUUGAGUAUACGUUUAAUACUUCUAAUGUGUUCCCGUAUAUCCAAUAUGGCACGCUAAAACUUUUCACCCGUGAAUCUCCUAGCCUAACUUAAACACUCUCAAACAGACAUGUAAUUACAGAUGCACACAUGCUGUCACACAUGCAAGAUUAGAUCGAUAUAAUCAACUUUAUCCAAUUUUAAUUGCUCCAUCACUAGCUAGCCAUUGUUUACACGUUCCCUCCAAUAAAUCGCCAUCGACUUCACUGCUGCCACUUCCGUCGCCACCGACUCAGCUGCCGUUGCCACCGCCGUCGUCGCCACAACUGUCAUCUUUGGUGCCGCCACUAUACGAUGUCCCAGACAAGACAGUGAGUUUAAGUUCAACUAGCAAUAAUCACGCGCUACGCUGCGUGUGGAUUUGAAGGUAACAUCAUACUCAAAGCAGCCCAAAAUGGUUACAGUUGUCAAGUUUGCGCCAAGAGCAUACUUGCAUUUACACUUUAUUAAUAUUUUCAAGAUCAAAUGUGAAUUGUUCUGAUCGGUUCGUUCAGAGAACAAUUUGUACAACCAAUGCACAGUAGUGUAAAAGCCUUUCCAGUGUGAUGUAGAUUACAGAAAAAGAUCAAUGUUGAGUCGGUAAUCAUUAGAAGGCAAGGCGCAUACCUGAAAAUUUUUCAUAUAGAAAUCUUCAUCACGAAACAAUGAGAUCUUUUCACAUAGCACCUGCAUUGUGAAGGAUAUUUUAGUGUUUCGGCGCAAUAAAAACAACAGUAUAUAACCAAAUGUAUGUGCAGCAAUUUAGAUGACUGCUGCUUACUUGGAAAGUGCCAGUGACUACUGAGCUAUGUCCAAUAGGCCAACAUUAUGUCCAAGAGUUCGGUUUUACAUGCAUGAAGUGGAAACAAAAUGUUGCAAUUUCGAUUGAUUAAGCGCAAAAAUAACUAAUGAAAUCAUAAUGUCAAGUCAACCUAUGAUGCAAACUUCAUAGAAGUAUAUGUAAAAACAGAGAUUCAAUUUGAAAGAUGAUGGGUCAGUAGCAAAUUCCAGAAAUAUCGCUGUAAGGAAAAAAAAGAAAGAAAGACCCCAUGUGCACCUAUUGAAGCAUAUUUUUUUUAUAUCCAUCAUUUAGAGACUUAUUUAGUAUAUCUGACAAUUGUAGUUGCUAUGAUUAAUCGAAUUUACGGAGACUACCUAGAUGAGAUGGCCAAGAGACUUUUAGCAUGAUAUGAUAUACUUACCUUAAUCGUGGCCAAAAGACUUGAAACAUGAUAUGAUAUAGUUGCUCUGAGGUAUGGAGGUAUGGCUAUUUAAAGUUAUUUGCAUGAUCCAAAUAUAGGGGUAAAAGGUGGGGGGGGGGGGGGGGGCAGCAAAUCAGCAGAAAAAUUAUCAUAGAUGGGAAACAUACCAGAUGGAGCAUGUGGUUGCUGAUUUACAUUCCAUGCCAAGGAAUAAAAGGGAACAUAUAAUUUAUAAGUUUGUAUUGUCCACUUGCUAUUUAAAUUCAGAAUAUGUAGAUUAUUUUAAAGUAAUGAUAUUAUCUGAAUAUCCUUUUUCCAGAAUAUGCAGACACAUUUCAGGUUUAUAAGCUUGAAAAAAAAGGCACUAACGAACAUUCCAUCGUUGGUCAAAGAAUCCCAUCAUAGAUCAACUGGCCUAAAAAAGAAGAAAAAUAAGUGUUUCAUGCAUAGAAAGUGGUUUCAAUUUUAUAUCCAUCUGUUGGAUAUUAAGACAAAACUUGAAGGAGAAUAACUAUUCCACAUUGGUUCCAGAUAAUUAAUUACAUCCUUUUCAUGAGAAAGCAACAAUUAACAAUUACUUUUGUUCCCCAUAACACAUUGGGCCAGCUGUACUUCCCAACUAUCAUGAACAAUUUGUUUAAACAAAAAUUAGCAAUAAAGCACAUGGGACAUUAUUCAAAUACCAGUAUGUCCACUAUCAUUGUCAGUAAGUUCCAAACACUGUCAAUGGAUUGUAGUUCCUACACUAUAAGAACUACCUCAUCCAAUAUCCUACUAUCCCCAACUGGUUGUCAAUAACUGUAAGCCUACCUGACCAUUUGAAAUAAAAUAUUUGAUAGUUUUGGAACACAGGUAGCUGCUUAAAUAGUAUAUAGUCUUCAAUAUGAAAUGUCACAUUUUAGCAAUAUGACUAUGCAUGUAGCAUGUUAAGCAUAUUUCUCUUAUCAAUAACUAUUUCAAUUCUAAACAAAAACUACAACAUGAGUAUAUGUUUUUCUUUAUUGCCUAAAUUCACACACCUCAGAUGAGAUACCAUACUUCCCAAAAAUGCAUUAGUGCUCGUACAGAGAGAACCUAGCUAGUAUUUCUUAGUAUACCUCUAGCUAAGAAGAGGAACCAAAUUAGGCGACAAAGACUAAUGCACCUCGUGCAAGCUGGUGUAUAAUAAAAAAAAGUCCCAUGGCUACAGCAUAGGACAAUCUUUGUUAAAAUUCCAGUUCUAAAUAGGUUACAAUGACUUCGUAUGAUGUUCAAAAAAAGUAAUUGAUUCGUAUUGAGGCAAAACAAAACUUACAUAGAUAUGUUCCACUUCAUAUGCACUGGGAGGGAUACCUGCAUCUAGAGAAGCUUAUAAGCACUGAUAAAUAAAGAACAGUAGGGCAUUUAGGGCAUUUAUAGUAUGGUCUGAAAGGCUUUGAGUUGGAUCUGCACUAUUAUGUUUCUUGUGUACAUAAUAUGAACUGAAUCAGCCCAAGAAGAACUUUACCUUGGCAACCAAAGAGAAUCAUUACAUACAUGUCAAAGGUAUCCUAAGCUUGAUAUAAUGAACGAAAGCCCCAAAUCGCAUAAAUAUGCCCUGCAUCACAAAUGGGAACAAAUAAACCUAUCAACAAUAUCGUUUUGCCCUCCAAAGUUGUAUAUGCAAUUCCUAACUGAAACAAUUAAUCACAGCAUAGAGAAUUUUGAGUAGCAGCGUGUGUUGUUUCAAGCUAAACAGUUUGAUCACACAUGACAGUGUUGAAGUACAUGCAGAGGGAAAUUUCUCCACACAACCUACACACUAUAACUGAAUAAUGCCAUACACAUUAAAAGCAAAUCAAGACUGGCACUGUAACUAAAUCAAGGCUUACACAUUAGAAGCAAAUCACGGUUGUAAUCAUCAACAACUAAGGUCCAACCACUUCCUUCUCAUGGCCCUAUGACACUGAGCUAGAACGAAAAGGAAAAAAGAGAACAGGAACGACCAGGCAGCUAUUGUCGCGGAGCCGCAGCUGUCUUCAUCGCGGUCCUGGUCAAGCCGACACUCUCCCUUCCCUUCUCAUGGCACUGAGCGAGGCUCUCAUGGAGAGGGAGAGGAGAAGAUGGCAGUGGCGGCGGCCGGAGAGGGACAGGAGAAGAGGGCAGCGGCGGCACCCUAUUGACUCCAUCCGGGCGACCGAUUCAACUGGAGGGGAGGCCAAGAUUGAUGAAUCAGACGGUCCCCGAGCCAUAUUUGACACCGCAGAGAGGGAGCGGCGGUGGCAGCACGGUAGAGGAGAAGGGAGCUGCGGCGGCGACGGCGCUUGCGAGCGGAGGAGGUGGGCGUCUGGGCGCCGGAUCCGCCGGCGAGGAGACCGGGGUCACCGGAUCCGGCGGUCCCGGCCUCCUCACUAGGAGAUCCGGCGGGUCAUUGGGAGGGAGCGGCGGCGGCAGCACAGUAGAGGAGAGGGAGCUGCGGCGACGACGGCGCACGCGAGCGCAAGAGGCGGGCGAGGUUGCGGUGCGAGCUGAGGAGGUGGGCGACGGCGCACGCGAGCGCAGGAGGCGGGCGAGGUUGCAGAGCGAGCGGAGGAGGUUGCGGCGCGCGUGUAGGGAGAGGAGAGGACGGGCGGCUAGGGUUUGUACCGGUUGGCGAAAUCCAGGCCGUCCGUCCAUAAUCCGACGAUCGCACGGGUAAGGAAGGGCCAGCACAGCGGGACACGUGGACGGCCAGAUUGACCCUACGGUGAGAUCGGACGGUGGAAAGAAGCGAGGACCGGCGCAUAAUUAUCCGAAAGUGCAGGGGUUUUUUCGCCAAAAUUGAUGAUGUGGCACUCUACUCUUCCCGCGUUCCCACGGCUUUUAAGUAAACCUAUAUAUUAACUAUUUAGUAUUCGGUUAACCUUAUCUUGAGAGGUAGCUACAAAAUUAUGGUGCAAUACAUCUGUUCAAUACUAAUUUAGUACUUCAUCCGUUUCACUUUAUAAAACAUCUAUUUCCUUGUCUAAAUGCAACAUCUAUAUGAAAUUAUGUGUCCAAAUUCAUAUCGAACCAUACAUGAAUCUUUUUAAAAUCCAAAAAUUCUUAUAAUAUAAAUAAUUAAUUAUCACACUCCGAUUAACGACAACUUGCUUUCAUUAGGCCCCCUCCAAUAUGAGCCAAUCAUGUAUUUUCACCACGCUUUAGGACUUUGGCAUAGCAUAUGUGCUGGCCACAUGGAAGUGAUGCAACAGUUAACAACGCUUUGCUAAGAUUAGAAUAAGGCAACAUUGAAGUGAUUAAUGGGGUUGUUCUCAGUACUAACUCUGUUUUCUUAGGUUUCGUUCAUGGACGGUAGAUAUGUUCAAAGUUCGUUUCUAAUUUUCUAUGUUGCUUAAUACUUGUUUCUAAAUCAGCUCCAAACUCUUAGUAUAUAGCAUAGAAUAAUGUGAAAUACCAUGAUGUAUACAAGUAAUUCAAGAAGCUAUUUCUGUGAUAUGAAUGCAGUCCGGCCAUCGAAAAAAGCAAGAAGUUCCAAAUGUAUGGAUAAUAUGCACACCUUUAUUGUAUUUCAAUCUAUUUAAAUAUGCCAACCACUUACACUUAAUUUAUUUGGAUAAUUAUUUUUUUCACAUGUAAAAUUAUGAAAAAAUUGAUGUGAGUUGGCAUGGAACUGAAUCUCAAUUUAAUUUAGACAUAUAUACAAAUUAGGCAAAUUUUGCUAUAGGACAUCACGACUUCGUGGUUUUAGCCGUAGGACACCGCACAAACUCACUUUUAGGGGAAAAAACACUCUUUAAACGUGCUUAUUUGCCACUGGACACCACGUCCAUUAAAAUAUUAAUUUUCGGUUGAAUAGAAGAGAUAAAUAGUAUGAAAGGUCAAAAAUACCCCUGACCCCACUUGUCAUAUUCUUCCUCUUCCUCCUGGUUGUGCAGCUUCUCCCCGGACUGUUGCCGGUCCAAGUGCGUCGGCUGGAACACGCUCAUGGAUUCCCUGCCUGCUAUGUCCUGCUCGUAGUAUAGGUCCUUGAUCCUCUCGGAGUAGGCGCCAUGUAGCGACACGACGAGCACCGGCUUGCGCCUCCCCGGCCGCGCCGCCCGGCUGCUCUCCGGCAGUGGUAAAGUUGAGCUCCUGCUGCACACGGGGCAGGAUGUUCUCUCCAUGCGCGCACAACAUGAUCUGGCCGUAGAGCUCGUCGGUGGAGAUGCGCGCCAAGUAGAAGGAGCACACCUGGAUGCCGACACGCUACUCAGUGUAGGCCAUGUACGAGGCAUGGUACCACGUUCCUCGGGUGGAGCAGGUAGCGGCCGAGGAGGUGGAACGCAGCAUCGUGGCACGGGAACAUCCGCGGCAGCACGCGCUCGAUGCGCGAGACCAGGAACAGUCCGAGCACGAAGUAGUUGUCGGAGAGGAGCACCAUCCAGUCGACGCGCCACAAUGCGUCCAGCCCGUCGUCGCAGAAGAAGCGCGGCUCAUUGCCGUUGCGGUUGAAGUACGUCGUGCUGCAGGUGCAUGUACAUCCAUGGCGGUAGUGGGUCUCGGGCAGCGCGUUGCCGCGCCGCAGCGCGUUGCCGAGGCUCUCGCGGGUGCACGCGUUGAAGCCCCGGAUGCCGGAAAACGGGAAGUCCCCCUCCGGUAGUGUCCACGUUGAGCCCGGGAAUUGCUCGCAGAUGAGAUAAGGAAGAAGAGAGGAUGGGGAAGAGAAAGGAGGGGUAAUUUGGUUACUCUGCAUAAAAAUAUGGGCCCGUGUCGCCUUGUCAGCACGAAUACGUUAUUUUAAUAGGGGCAGUAUCCGCUGGCAAAUAACCACAUUUAGAGAGUGUUUUCUCCUAAAAGUGAGUUCGUGCGGUGUCCUACAACUAAAAUCACGAAAUCGCGAUGUCCUGUAACAAAAUUUGCCUACAAAUUAACGCCGAUGGCACAACAGAAAAAAGUAAAUCACUAUUUUUAUUUUAUACUCCCCCGUCUAAAAAAACAGACCUAGAACUGUAUGUGAUACAUUCUAAUACAACAAAUCUGGAUAGAGUUAUGUCCCAGAUUUGUAAUAAUAGGAUGUGUCAUAUCCAGUGCUAGAUUGGAUUUUUAUGGAACGGAUGGAGUAACUAUGAUAUAUGUUUGUGCUCGUGAUUUUGCUUUUAUAAUUGUAGUCGAUCAUCUACGGAACUAUUUAUGUGUGUAUAUGUAGCCAUUCUAUAUCUAUAUAUUAGACACUACCACUCCCCUCUCUCUCUACGUUAUCUCUUUUCUCAGCCUUCCCGGCUUACCACCUUUUCCCCACCUUCUUCCCUGCUUCCCCUCCUCUCCACCGUCAACAGCGGGCGUCGGUGGCGGCCCCGUGGGUGCGCCUCCACGCCACCCGCAGCACCCAGGAUGAGGAGGUCAAGGUCGACGCCACCAUGUUCGACGGCGCCGCCGUCCCGCCCCCAGACGCGCCCCUCUUCCGCCGCGUCGAGUCGCUCGACCACGUCCCGCGCCUCCACCUCGGCCUCAUCAUCGAGGCCUCUACCGCGACAUGUUGCACCAGCACCAGAAAUCAUGUUGUACGGAAGCUUUUGUGAUUUUGCUCUCUGGUUUAUGUGGUUUGUGAAGUUCCACUUCUGUAAAUGAUUCGCAGCAAGCUGGAGGCUAGGGAGAGGGAGUACGUGAGGAAAUUCUUGCAGGAGAGGGCGGCGGCGGCAGCGGCGGCCGGGCGAGGCGGCGCUCCCACGGGAGAUUCACGACGAGAUCGGCCUAGAGUUCCUCGGCAACGUCACCGGCAAGCCAUACACGCUCCACGCCAACAUCUUCGCCAACGGCGUCGGCAGCCGCGAGCAGCAGUCGUCGCAUCUCCUCCUGGUCGUGGUCCUCAUCGUGCACAUCGUCGCUCGGCUCCCUUGACGACGAUGCCGUCGUUGCGUGCGUCGUCAAGGCGGCGGCGAGCGGGCGAGCGGGCGGCGGCCAUUUUCACUUUUUUUUUGUUUUUUUUCCGUGCGAGCGGUAUAAUAUGACCGCAUCGGGAUAAUCGAUUAUCCCGUGCGGUCCAUUAUCCCAUACGGUUGGGCCGUCCGUACGCGAAAAUAUUGAUUUUUUCAGACAUUUGGGUAUAGACGGGCAAAUCCUCCGCACAGAAAAAUCAUUUUGACCGCAAGGAAAAAUGGUUUUCGCAGUAACGAGAGACCGAAGAAGAUUGUACAAUUAUUAAUUGGGUAAUUUGUAACCAUGCCAUUAUAAUUUUUUAAAGUUUAAGAUAUGCCAUCGGUAUCUCAAUGACACGUAGGACCCACAUGAAUCAAUGACAUGUGGGUCAGGAUGGCAUAUCUCAAAUUUUACAAAAUUAUAAUGGCAUGGUUACAAUUUUCCCUUAUUAAUUUAUGUUCGCAUCGCGUGCGGUUUGAUAAGUGAUUUAACUAGGUUCCUUGUUUUGUCUAAAGCACCACCACCAGAAUCAUCAGUAUAUUUUACUGUGGAUUUUGGAGUACAAUUAAAAAUUCUAUUACACUGACUUAAAAUUUGAAUGACUUUUACCUUUUUAAACUCUAUGGAUGAACCCUAAAAAAAUAAUUGCCGAACAAAAUAUUAUUUCAAACUGGGAGAUGAUGUGGCAGUUUUUUUUAAUUUUAUACAGUGGAUUUUUGGAGUACAAUUAUUUUACCAUUGGCAAGAUGAGCAUAUAUUAUUUUUUUAAAACUUUAAUUUGUUGGAUGGAUAGUAUGAGUACAUUUUAUACAAUCUAUAUGUUCUUUUAUACAGGCUCUGUGUACAGCUCAGAUGAUGCACUUUUCCUGUGUGAAACUCUGAAGUAUGAUUCAUGUCAGGCACGUUUUUUUAGGAUAAUGUCACGUGCCUCUUUUAUUUUUUGCCACGUGUUUGAAAAUUAUUUUAUUUUAGGAUUUUUAUUCAUAUUAAAAUGGAUUGUCCAUUUUAUUUUUUUUAUAUGUAUGACUAUAGUGUACUUUGAGAUAUGUAUGAAUAUGUGUAGCCAUUCUAUGAAGCUUUUUAUUCGGUCAUUCUAUAUCUAUAUAAUGAUUAAUUUAUGAUGAUUAAUUUAUGUGUGCAUGCGUACAGUUUGAUAAGUGAUUUUGGUAUUCGGGCCUUGGCCGUAUUUAGUUCCUCCAAAAUUUUUUUGACACCACAGACACACAUUUAAAGUAUUAAACAUAGACUAAUAAAACAAAUUACAGAUUCCACCUAUAAACUGCGAGACGAAUUUAUUAAGCCUAAUUAAUCUAUCAUUAGCAAAUAUUUACUGUAGCACCACAUUGUCAAAUUAUAGCGUAAUUAGGCUCAAAAGAUUCGUCUCGCAAUUUACAUGCAAACAAUGCAAUUGAUUUUUUUUUCAUCCACAUUUAAUGCUUCAUGCAUGUGUCCAAACAUUUGAUGUGACGGAAUUUUUGGAAGUUUGAAGGGAACUAAACACAACCCUUAUUUAGAUCCCAAAAAAUUUUGGCCAAAAACGUCACAUCAAAUGUUUGGACAAAUGCAUGGGGCAUUAAAUGUGGAAAAAAAAUCAAUUGCAUAGUUUGCAUGUAAAUUGCGAGACGAAUCUUUUGAGCCUAAUUAUGCCAUGAUUUGACAAUGUGAUGCUACAGUAAAUAUUUGCUAAUGACGAAUUAAUUAGACUUAAUAAAUUCAUCUCGCAGUUAUAGGCGGAAUCUGUAAUUUGUUUUGUUAUUAGUCUACGUUUAAUAAUUUAAAUGUGUGUCCGUAUACUUCAAAAACUUUGCACCCAAACAACUAAACACACCCUCAGGCAAUAUAACUUGGUUCUUUUUUUCUCUAAUGCAGCACCACCAUAGUCAACUGUAGAGUUAUCCCUUGGUAUGUGAAGUGAUGAUCAGAGCCAAUGUACCUCUCAAACCGACUCACAAAUGGAUAUCAUCAUUGUUGAAAGAAGGGUUUCAUCGGGGUUUUAACCGAUGAGGUAUGUAGAUGUUGCAUCGGCUUACAAAGAUUGCAUAUAAGUUGGAUUUAGCCAUUCGCAACAAAGGUUUCACUGUUUAUCUAAUCUUGUGGAUUUUAUGACAUGGGACCUCCAGCCAAUAUAUGCUUUAACCAUCGGAAUAUUUAUUUUAUCAUAUCAUUGUUAGCCGAUUAGUUUCUACUGGAUUAUAUUAUUGUUAUUUAUCAUCAUCGGCUGAUGGCCUUUAUGUCAUUUAUUUACUCAAGUAUCAGACUUUGCAUUGGACAUAUAGCCGAUUGCUCAAAACCCUAUCAACAUCUGCUGGUAUCGGCAUCAGUUGGAAUUACUCCGUCUGCUUGUCAGCCAAUCGGCUCAUUGAUCUACUAUUUGCAUAUCUUAUCAGUUGCAGGAUCAAACUGACUGACACUUCUGCAUCUCAUCAACCUUUUGACCUGCACUGGAGCUAAGUAGAUCUCCCAUGCCGUUGGGUUUGUUGACUUAAUUUUGCGCCAACACAGUUCUGGCACCAUCGGCCGAGCGCGGUUUUUUCGUCAACAGGGGGUAAAAUGAAAAAAAAAGGAGAUGCUAAGGUGCCUAUUUUUUCCUCUCAGGGUGGGAUGAGGAUUUGUGGAAGGAUUCCUUAGAAAAGAAGUUUCUUGAAGGGUAUUGAAAAUAUUUCGCAAACUGAGGAAAUAACGGCUAGAAGCAUCGGAACGAAGAAUUGAACGGCUAAAGUUCCCUUAAUGACGUGGUGUUGUAUUUUGCAAGGAAAGGUUUCACUUUUCACUUAUUUAGAUAUAACACACAUGCAUGUAUUUUCGUGCAACUAGUGACUUGCAACACAUGAUCCCUGCUAGAUGCCUGUUGGCAGUCAUUAAACCCUAAAAUCACCACCAAUAUUAUAAUAAAAAUAUCACAUAAAGCAUGUUACCUAGGUCGAUUUUGCCUUAUUUCAAUGAGUUACACGAUUUCUGUUGGAUUUCACUACGCGUAUAAUAAUUCACGAUUUUGACCUAUUUUUUUUCCAAUGAAAAUCUGGCAUUUUAAGCCAAAGGGCUGACCAGCCGACCAACAUACCUCAUGGGUCAACCGGCCUAAAGACUUGGCCGACUAGCCAACUCAGGGCUCGGCCAGCUAUUUGGAAACGUGUCCUGAUUGGCCACCCUCCUCACUGAGCCGGCUGGCCUGCGCAGCACGAUGUGAGGCUAAUGAUUGAUUGGUGGACCCCAUUCUGGGAGUGAUGUCUUCUCGGAUGAGUAACAUGUAGACUUACUUUUCCCUCUUAAUAUUUUAUUCAUACAUUAUGCUUAUUGCCAUACUUUUUUUCCUAGUUCUCUUCUAAGUUUAUUUUUUAUGCUUGCUUGAGUGGAUGCCUCAUUUAUAAUUAAGCUGGGAACAUGUAUAGUUCUAUGUGUGGGUGUGGUGCUUAGGAAUAGUUUUAUCUAGGAAGGCUGGUUGGGGAAACAGAGGACGUAGUUGGCCGGGUGCCGACAGCCUCGGUUGUCCUUUGAAGCCAGCCACGUUAACCCUAAUUACGCUGACGCAAAUAGGUAGACCAAUGCUUAAUGUGGAAAGCAGUCCUGUUUCCAAAGCAAGCAAGGAUAAGUGUAGCUAAAUGGAUUUCCUAGAAUGAAAGCAGUCUUGUGAUGUGGGGAAUAACCCGGGGACUUGAAUCCUGACUAAUUCGAUGAUUUCACAACCAUAUCAUCACAUUCACACAACAAAUACAUAUAUAUAGACAAUAAUGUUCACAUUUCUAAGUGUUAACAAAAGACACACAUCACAUUGGACUAACUGGUCAAAUAAAAGAGAGUCAAACAUAGCGCAAUAAGAGAACAAAAAAAUAUAUACAUUCUUUAGUAUGCCAUCUAACUAACUAGGAAUUACUACCCAUGUCGAAACGCGGAUGACCGCACCGAGAAGGCAAAUUCUUCUUUGCCAAUCGAAGAGCACAAACAAGAAUGAGAUAGAAUACAACCAAAAUUACAGAUGAAUGAUUAAGCUCACAAGUUGGGGUCUUACAAACCGAUCUAGCGGCGAAACUAUUCUCGACAGAAUAUUCUAAGCAAAACCCGACUCUAAACGAUGACGGCUACUUAAUUAAUAUGAUUAGGGACGUCCUAGGGUUGCCCUAGGGCGCACACCCUCAUGGGCUAAGCCCACGACACAAUUAUAAGGCCCAAAACCCAAAUCAGAUUUGGAUUGGAUGAGAUACAUAACUUGUUUUGUAGAUUCCCGACAGCUCGGUAGGAAUUUUGACGUAGGACCAAAACCAUCUAAAAGUAGACUCCAUAAGCUUUCCAACAAGUACUCAUAGGCCCCGAAAUUCCUUCUAGAUCAACAUCUAGGUUCGUUUGAAGUUGAUGCUGUCAGGAGGCCCGAAUCCGAAUCCAAAACGUGUAGAACUUGAUCUCUUGUCUUCUAUGGACCAAAAGUGACGUGGUGAGGUAGAAGUAGACUUGGAGAAGGUCUUGGUUUGGUCCCCAAUCAACUUCUUUGAUCAUCCAUGCAUUCGUUACGCUCGGUCUCUUUUCCUUCGCCCAAGCAAGUACCUCUACAAACAAAAACACAUCAUUGUGUAGCAACGUUUGUUCAAAUAUAUAACAAGUAAAUCUAAUGUAGAACAUAUGUACCUUUGUUUGAUUAAUAUAUAAGGUAUCCAUGGUUAUAUCCAAACUAGUAGUGUCCUCAUCACCUAGCUAGAAGUAUCAUGACGCUAAUGGUGGUGGAUAGAAAAUGGCAAAGGAAGGGAGAUAGUGCUGUUUCCAAAGGCAGAGAUGAAGUAAAAUAGGGUUCAAUGUAAAACAAAAGGGAGAGAGAGAGAGAGCUCAAAGUGAAAAGAAUGUGUAAAGGAGGGCAAAAGUGAAACUUUUGUAGUAAAGAGGUCCACAUUGCAAACCAUCUCUAUGUUUUAAGUUUUGAUGCAUGUAAAAAUAAUGUGACUGUGACAUCCCGGCCCAAUUUGGAUUAGGCCUGUGUGGCCCAUGUGAGUUGUGUGCGUAUGUUUAGUACGACCUUAUUAGUUUAGCAUGAGUGGAACUAACUUAUAAGGCCUCUUCCCUCCAACCAUACCCUUUUACACGAAGCGAGGACGAAAGUGUAAGUGGAGUGAUGUGUGUAAGUGGGCCCGCUACGUGGUUCUGGAGGGAGGGCUGUAACAAAUGGUAUCGGAGCCGACCCUUGCGAUUGCGCGUACGGGUCAGUGUGCGGGCAUAUGGCGCUGGCACUGGACGUACGGAUGUGCGCUUCGCGGUUGCGCGUACAGGUCAGUGUGCGGGCAUAUGGCGCAUGGCGCAUGUGGGCUCUGUGUGAGGCACAUGGCAUGGCAUAUGGCGCUAGCACUGGACGUACGGAUGUGCGCUGAGAGGGGGUGUGUUCCUGGACAGUUGCCUAUAUGCCUGUGUGGCUACAUGGGUAAGUUGGGCCGACAGGGAUGUCGGGUCCUUUGAGGGGGGGGGGGGUUGUGACAUCCCAGCCCAAUUUGGAUUAGGCCUGUGUGGCCCCACUCCCGGGUUAACCCUUUUAUACGAAGCGAUGACGGAAGUGUAAGUGGAGUGGUAUGUGUAAGUGGGCCCGCCCGUCGGAUGGGCUGGCUACACGGUUCUGUAGGGAGGGCUGUGACAGUGACGUGGUCAUCACUUCCAACUUAAAUGCUAAAAAUAUUGUUCUCAAUUUGUAACCUCCAUUGAGAGUAUUAUCAUGUUCUUAGUAAUUGCUUAUUGAUAUUUUUAUGGAAAAAGAGGUGUAGGCAAUCUUCUUCACAUUAUUCAUUACAGUAAGAUCGUUACACAUUUAGUUUACUUCUCGUUGAUCUGCCACUCAGCAUACUGUUGCGGCCCACGCCUCGGAGCAAAGACAGCCAUCUCAUCGCCGCGGUUGAACUUUACAUGCCUAGAGUCCUCCCUUGAAAGCCUAUAAGCAUUGGCGACCACGUCAACGGGUAGAGCACGAAGAAUGGAGGCCUUCCCUGCGAUCUGACUGUCGACAGCAUUGUGAUUGGUCUUGAAGGAUACCCAUGCAAAUCCUUCACGUCGAGCCUUCACCACCACUGCAAAGUUCUGUGGGAUCAACAAGAUCUGCUGUUGGUGAAGCUCACCAUCAAAGACACUCCUACCACGGUGAUCCACCACCUGGAUGUGCCCUUGGCCAGCGGUCACGUACAUCACCGUGUGUGCGUUUACCGUCCAAUGAGGAGUAAGCAAGGCAUUCUACAAAAAUGGAAGUGAAUCAACAUGACAAAUACUUGGCAUAAACUACAUACAUUAUGCUUACAAACUAUAGUAAUUUUCUCUUUGUUUAUACUCACAUUUUGGAGAACGAUUCUGGUGGCACUCAUCUGGAUGAUAUUGAGUAUUGGGAAAUUCUGGCUAUUGGCCCUUGUGAUCCUUCCACCAUGGGGGUUAAAUAUGUCACUGGAUUGUGGGUUGUCUAUGUUCUUCCUCAACUUAAAUGCACACAUAAUUUCAUCUAGGACAUUUUGCUGGCCGCAAGCUCCACCACUUCGCAACCAGGUGGGCUGUAGCUGCUUGGUUGGCAAGUAAGCUUGGGUUUGUUCCUCUUUCACUGGCUCAACUUGGAGAGAGGGCUGCAGUGCCUGGAGCCCAUUUUCAACUCUAAUGAUGGCACCUCUUGGGUCACUCAGGCCUUGGAGCCUCAACACAGUUUGCUUGCUCACACUCAGGGCUUCAGAAAGUAAAUCUGGGCUGAACCCAGCAAAGAUGUUCUGAUUUCUGCUCAGUUGUUCUGUCUGGUAUGAGUACGAUUGCUGCUGCCAGCUACUUCUAGGCUUUCCAGCCAAGAAAAACUCCUAACCCAUUUAUCAUUUCAUAGUAUACAAUACACAUUAGCAUUUUGUUAUCAUUGAAAUCAAAAUAGUGAUAUGGAAUAUUCAUUAUGCUUGUGUGGAGCAUAUGUACGCAUACCCUUCUUUUAGGAUCGAGCUGGUUGGCAUUGUUGCUGGUGUCGAUGACAGUGAAAGCAACCACAGGAGAAUCACCAUUGUUAUAUAGCCAGUGGGCUACUCCAGCUGGCACUGCGAUUACAUCACCUUGGUGGAAUUGGUGAAGUUGCUGGUGCUCGUCUCUCAUUUUUUGGAUUGAUGAUUGAGCCUCACCAGCUGUUGCCACCUCUUGCUCAAAGGGAGACCUAACUGACUGGAACGUCUCUGGACAACCAGGCAGUGCCAUCCCAAACACUCCCCGACCU
rnacentral:lncRNA from 1 species